CGGGGACCCACCAUAUGCACAGGAGGCCACCUAGGGAACACGGAGGGAGGGACUCUGGCCCCCAGAACGCAGGCCCCAGCCCGGAAGGCGACCCCUAGCGGCAGCCUAGGGAAGCCCCUAGUGGGAAUGAGGCCCCGCGGGGUGUCUGGACUUCCGCAUCCGGGUCUCAAGAGACUGGCGGGGCGGGGCGUGGCGAGGGGGCCUCGGCGUCGGCGUGGGCGUCGGCGUGGGCGUCGGCGUGGGCGUCGGCCUGGGCGUCGGCGUGGGCGUCGGCGUCUUCCGGCCGCGCCUCGAAUCCCGUCAGGCGCGGGAAGGGCGCAGAGCCUCGUGGGCUUCGAGGGGCUCUGCGAGCUCUGCAGUUGAGGCCUUGGUCUGAGGCAGGAGUCCUGAGGUCACAGAGCAGAGGAGGCGAGGCCGCGUGCCAGUCGGUUGUCCAGGCGAGGGUCUGGCGACCAUCAUGCCCCUGCGUCAGAGGAGGAGGAGGUGGAGGUGGAGGAGGUGGAGGAGGUGGAGUUGAAGAAGGAGGAGGUGGAGGAGGUGGAGGAGGUGGAGUUGGAGGAGGUGGAGGUGGAGGAGGUGGAGGAGGUGGAGGUGGAGGAGGUGGAUUUGGAGGUGGAGGUGGAGGUGGUGGAGGUGGAGGUGGAGGUGGAGGAGGUGGAGUUGAAGAAGGAGGAGGUGGAGGAGGUGGAGGUGGAGGUGGAGGAGGUGGAGGAGGUGGAGGUGGAGGAGGUGGAGGAGGUGGAGGAGGUGGAGGAGGUGGAGGUGGAGGUGGAGGAGGUGGAGGAGGUGGAGUUGAAGAAGGAGGAGGUGGAGGAGGUGGAGGAGGUGGAGGUGGAGGUGGAGGAGGUGGAGGUGGAGGAGGUGGAGGUGGAGGAGGAGGCGAGGCCGCGUGCCAGUCGGUUGUCCAGGCGAGGUGCGUGCUCCGCGCGUGGGGCCGGGGGCUCGCCCAUCCCACC
rnacentral:lncRNA from 1 species